UACGAAGGGGGCUAGCGUUGCUCGGAAUUACUGGGCGUAAAGCGCACGUAGGCGGCUUUUUAAGUCGGGGGUGAAAUCCUGGAGCUCAACUCCAGAACUGCCUUCGAUACUGGAAAGCUCGAGUCCGGGAGAGGUGAGUGGAACUGCGAGUGUAGAGGUGAAAUUCGUAGAUAUUAGGAAGAACACCAGUGGCGAAGGUGGCUCACUGGUCCGGUACUGACGCUGAGGUGCGAAAGCGUGGGGAGCAAACAGG
rnacentral:rRNA from 1 species